AUGGAGAUGGGAAGGUCGCUAUGGCUCGCGCUUCUGGUCCCUGCGAUCAUGGUGUCCUUCUACGGCGAGGCUGCCAUGGCGGACGCCCAGACAUCGACGGCGGGAGGGUCGCCGCCGGACACGAACGUGCUGUGCGUCAGCAAGUGCGGGACGUGCCCGACGGUAUGCACCACGCCGCCGCCGCCGGGCAGCGAUGGCAGUGGCUACUCCUCGCCGUCGCCUCCGCGCUCUGUGACGACUCAGCCAUCUCCACCGGCCGUGCCGCAGCCGCAGGCCAAGGGAGGGAAGCCCAGCGGCUACUACUACUUCUUCACCGCUGGGAGCGGCCGGAGCUGCGCCGCCUCGAGCGCUCGUUACACGCUACUGCUCCUGGCGCUUCUUCCCAUCGUCGUUCACACCCGCGUUUUGCUGGGCCCUACACUUUAUAAGGCAAGUUGCCCCUCCCGGUCGCCCCUAACCGCCGGUCGCAGGCCCCCUCCUCCUCGACUCCUCCCUCGCCGCCGCCGGCUCGCGCUGACGGGCGAAGCCCGGUUAGCCUCGGCGGCGGCGGGGCCUUCCUUCCCCUGCUCGCUAGGGCCGACGCGGGUCGGGGUCAGCGGGCGGCGGCGUGGCGCUGGCCGAGGGCGGCGUGACGGCGCGGCGGCGGGCGGCAAUGGCGGGGCCGGUGCCUGGCGGCGGCGCGUUGGGCUCGUUGGUGCUCUGUUCCGCGCGGUUGCGCCUGGCGUGGUAGCGGCAGCCACUGAUGGAGCGCGUCGGCCCCCCUUCGGCGGGUGGCUGAUGCAGAUGCAGGGAGCGCCGCUCCUGGCCGCGUGGGCGGCGGAUCGGCGGCUAGCGUGGCUGGCUCAUGGGGCUUCCCCGUUUGCCCUUGGAGUAGAUCUAGCGAUGUGGUGGUCGAGGCUUUGGCAUGGGAGGUGGCUGCCGGAUAUCGUCAGUGGUGUCCCUGCUCGGCCACUUGCGGUUGAAGUUGGCGCCGGCGUGCGACGUUGGCGAUGCUCGGUGGUGCGGCUGCAUGGUGCGGUAGUCGUGCUUGUCGUCCCCUCCCGGCAACCUGUUGGUCCUGGUCAUGCGAGCUCAGGGGUGAGCGACUCUGCCUGUCGAUGGCGUAGUGUCCUCCGAUCCAGGACUAGAGGGCAGGGGGCUCUCUUCGGAGGUAGAGACGGAUGGCAGACCGGAUGGCUUGGCUCAAGGGGGAUGACGGAGUGUGGCAAUCCUCCUGCAGCGGGAUCUACCUCGGCUUAG
rnacentral:rRNA from 1 species